rnacentral:lncRNA from 1 species
GUCACUGGAUGUAAGAGACUUUUCAGGGCUUAAAAAUAAGCCGAUACGGUUUGCACAAGAAUUAUUAAAAGUUUUCCCUAGGUAUUUGUCGAAUUACCACUAGAUGUAUUAUUAUCUAUGGAGCAAACCUUAUUUCGAACCCAGAACAAGAAAAAAGAUCUUUGUAAGAAAUCGGAGGCUUGUCUGAGUGCAGUGGUAUUUACAACUAAUUGAUCACAAAUUACAGAUUUCUUUGUUCUUUCUCCACUCCCACUGCUUCAAUUGACUAGCCUAAAAGGAGAAGAAACAGCUAUUUUACUUCUUAAUUAUUAAAUAAAUUUAUACAAGCAUUUUCCUCCAACGUAGCAACAAAAGUAUCUUUUCAAAGCUUCCCUUGUUUACUAUCUAGACACUUAAAUGCAGUCGUAUUUGAAUUUUCUUAAUUCGGAACACUUGGAAAAUUAUCUAAGGGCACUUACAAAACUAAAGAAACUUAAGUAGAACAUAGCAGCUCAAUUAAAUGCUAAAGUAAAAAUGAAUAAGUUUUUGCAAUGAGAAAACAUUUUUGGUGAUCAUAUGUUAAAAUAGAAAACAUGUCUUAAAAACUGAAUCCUUCAUCAAGAUGAACAUUUCUCCAAUAUUGUCUUUGCGGGGGGAGGGGAACUUUGCAAUAGAACGUGGAUCCUGUUCAUGUUUACCUACGAUUGAAUUUGCCAGAAUUCGGUGUUACGUAUGCAGUUAUGCACGAAACAGCUUGCUCUGAGUUCAACAGGGAAUACAGGCCCCUGGUUCUUCUCAGUGUUUGGGAAGGAGAGUGGCCCAAGUUUGGAAGAAGCAGCCAAUUCUCUGACGAGGAAUUGGGAGUCAAGGAUUCCCCGGGGAAAAUUGUUUGUAUUUUUGAUCAAUACCUGGCAAAUAUGAAAGACCGAGGCCAUUAUUCACCAAAUCAAUUCUCUGGUAAUAAAAUAUUGGAGCAAAUGUUAACUUUAAG